CUAGAGAUCUGCUCAGAGAACCACUGCACCACAGGACACCGGUGGCCAGCUGCCUUUCUCACCAAAAACCUGAAAUAAACAAGUUGUUUAGAGGGAUCACAACUGCAUCUAAUAGGGUUUUAUCGAUUUGGUAUAGCUCAAGAGACAGCUUUAUUAUGAAUUUCAGUAAAUCAGCGCAGAAGAAAAUGGAUAGAAUUAGAUCCCAGCGUUAACUGAUAUAAAAUUCAUAGAAAAUUAGGUGUGCCUUGGGAAAACAAACAGUUGUGACUGGUGACAUAGUUAGUUAUGAAAGAAACCGGUCUACUUCGUGGAUGAUAAAAUAACAACACAGCUGGCUCGAAUGCUCUUGUUUGAAUGGAUGAGGCACACUGGAUGCUGGGAAUUACAGCUAGGGUUCACUGCCAACUGGGUGAGCAUCCAUAAGGCCUCAUGACCCCGACACAAAAGAGCAGAUAAACAUGGGCUCCCAGCAACCCCUGCUUUUCAACCAUCAUCUCUGAUUUAACCCCA
ensembl:lncRNA